UGCCUAACACAUGCAAGUCGAACGAUGCUUUCGGGCAUAGUGGCGCACGGGUGCGUAACGCGUGGGAAUCUGCCCUUAGGUUCGGAAUAACAGUUAGAAAUGACUGCUAAUACCGGAUGAUGACGUUAAGUCCAAAGAUUUAUCGCCUGAGGAUGAGCCCGCGUAGGAUUAGCUAGUUGGUGUGGUAAAGGCGCACCAAGGCGACGAUCCUUAGCUGGUCUGAGAGGAUGAUCAGCCACACUGGGACUGAGACACGGCCCAGACUCCUACGGGAGGCAGCAGUGGGGAAUAUUGGACAAUGGGCGCAAGCCUGAUCCAGCAAUGCCGCGUGAGUGAUGAAGGCCUUAGGGUUGUAAAGCUCUUUUACCCGAGAUGAUAAUGACAGUAUCGGGAGAAUAAGCCCCGGCUAACUCCGUGCCAGCAGCCGCGGUAAUACGGAGGGGGCUAGCGUUGUUCGGAAUUACUGGGCGUAAAGCGCACGUAGGCGGCUUUGUAAGUUAGAGGUGAAAGCCUGGAGCUCAACUCCAGAACUGCCUUUAAGACUGCAUCGCUUGAAUCCAGGAGAGGUGAGUGGAAUUCCGAGUGUAGAGGUGAAAUUCGUAGAUAUUCGGAAGAACACCAGUGGCGAAGGCGGCUCACUGGACUGGUAUUGA
rnacentral:rRNA from 1 species